AAGUCGUAACAAGGUUUCCGUAGGUGAACCUGCGGAAGGAUCAUUACUUAAGAUCUUUUAGAUGCUUGACUUUUAGUUUUAAAGGAGAGUGUCUUAAAUCAACAUUGUGAACUUGCUUCUUAUGUUAAAUUAGUUGUAACUGAAGGCUUAACUUAACUUGACCUUAACAGUCAAGUGUCUAUUAAUGACAAACAACUUUCAGCAAUGGAUCUCUUGGCUCUU
rnacentral:misc_RNA from 1 species